UUCAACACAUCGAGAAGAUAAGUAAUGAUCGUUUAGUUGCUUAGAGAGCUGGCGCUUGGUGAAAGCUGGUCGACUAAAAUUAUGAAGAUGGUCUUUGAGUGCUUUGCCCUUUGAGCUUUUGAGUAAAAAAGGCACGGGAACGCCCGAUACAGCGGAAGGCUGUUUUGACGCAGUCAUUGAGCAGAAGCUGGCGACAGUUUUUGAAAAACCGGGUGGUAACACGAAUGAUCGUCCCGCAG
rnacentral:ncRNA from 1 species